rnacentral:rRNA from 1 species
UACGGAGGAUGCAAGCGUUAUCCGGAUUUAUUGGGUUUAAAGGGUGCGCAGGCGGAUAGUUAAGUCAGCGGUGAAAUGUCCCGGCUCAACCGGGGAACUGCCGUUGAUACUGGCUAUCUGGAGUACGGACGGCGCCGGCGGAAUGUGUCAUGUAGCGGUGAAAUGCUUAGAUAUGCCACAGAACACCGAUCGCGAAGGCAGCUGGCGAGGCCGGAACUGACGCUCAGGCACGAAAGCGUGGGGAU